GCGCGAGUGGCGGAAUUGGUAGACGCCCCAGAUUUAGGUUCUGGUGCCUUCGGGCGUGAGGGUUCGAAUCCCUUCUUGCGCACCC
rnacentral:tRNA from 1 species